GUGUAAAGGUUAGCAUUCCCCUUGAUAAGGAUGGAAGAGGCCCUGGGGCCUAAAAGCACACAUACUAUUAAAGCAUUGCUAAAUACUUUGUUUCA
rnacentral:ncRNA from 1 species